GCGUCCUUGGCCUUCCCUCGGCACCUCCGUCCAUGUUCAGAGUUUUCAGAAGAAUUUGUUAGGUCUGUAAUCUGAUUCUGGGGAAGGUUUUCUCACUGGGAAAUGCUGGAGCCGUUUUUCUGAGCUGAACUUUCCCAUCUGGAAUCUGUCUGGUUGGUGGUGCCCUGACCCCACCUUCAGUCAGCCCAUGGGUCUCCCCGCCAACUUCCUACUCACCCAAUGUCCUGUGUUGGCCCUGAGGCCAGUGUCAGAGGAGAAAGAAGAGGAGGAAGAGCACCAGCUGAAGGCCACUGAGACCCCGAUCACAACCCCCAGGUGCUUUCCCAGACCCUGAGCUAUGUGUCCUGGAGGGUCAUCCGUCAGGAGAACUUCCCCAUGACAUCCACAGCUGCCCAGUGCCCUAUUGAGGGGACGCCUUGGGAUUGAUUCCGUUUCUCUUUGAUCCAAGUCAGGUGGGUUACAGUCAUGGUUUUACAAAUAACAACUCCAUAAGAAAUAGCUUCGAACUUGUAAAAGACUUGUUUUUUGUUUUGUUUUGUUUUGUUUUGUUUUGUUUUGUUUUUGACAGAUUCUUGCUCUGCCACCCAGGCUGUAAUGAGUGCAAUAGUGCGAUCUUGGCUCACUGCAAGCUCCGC
rnacentral:lncRNA from 10 species